UAAUUGAAGAGUUUGAUCAUGGCUCAGAUUGAACGCUGGCGGCAGGCCUAACACAUGCAAGUCGGGCGGUAGCACAGGGAGCUUGCUCCUGGGUGACGAGCGGCGGACGGGUGAGUAAUGUCUGGGAAACUGCCUGAUGGAGGGGGAUAACUACUGGAAACGGUAGCUAAUACCGCAUAACGUCUUCGGACCAAAGAGGGGGACCUUCGGGCCUCUUGCCAUCAGAUG
rnacentral:rRNA from 1 species